AUCGCUUCUUGGAUUAUUGGCUAAAAUCAAGCGUAGUAUCUGUUCUUAUCAGUUUCAUAUCUGAUACAUCCUCUAUCUGAGGACAACAUGUUAAAUGGAGUUUUGGAAAUCGAGAUGGAACGGGAGCUUGCUCCAUGCACUUCACACGGUGACCUGGUGUCGCAGUACUCCCGGGAACGGUGCACCCACC